GGAUUGCCUCAGUAACGGCGAGUGAAGCGGCAAAAGCUCAAAUUUGAAAUCUAGUGCCUCUGGUACUCGAGUUGUAAUUUGAAGACGGCAACUUUGGGGGUGGCCUUCAUCUAUGUUCCUUGGAACAGGACGUCACAGAGGGUGAGAAUCCCGUGUGGUGGGGCGAUCCACUCCUAUGUAAAGUGCAGUCGACGAGUCGAGUUGUUUGGGAAUGCAGCUCUAAGUGGGUGGUAAAUUCCAUCUAAAGCUAAAUAUUGGCGAGAGACCGAUAGCGAACAAGUACAGUGAUGGAAAGAUGAAAAGAACUUUGAAAAGAGAGUGAAAAAGUACGUGAAAUUGUUGAAAGGGAAGGGUAUUAGAUCAGACUUGGCUGUGUGUGAUUAGCCUCUCCUUGUGGGGGGUGCACUCGCGCAGGGCUGGGCCAGCAUCGAUUGGUGUGGCAGGAUAAUGGCGCUUGAACGUGGCUCUUCGGAGUGUUUAUAGCUUGUGCUGAUACUGCCUAUGUCGAUCGAGGAAUGCGCUCGCUUGCGAGCU
rnacentral:rRNA from 1 species